UAGGGAAUCUUCCACAAUGGACGCAAGUCUGAUGGAGCAACGCCGCGUGAGUGAAGAAGGUUUUCGGACCGUAAAGCUCUGUUGUUGGUGAAGAAGGAUAGAGGUAGUAACUGGCCUUUAUUUGACGGUAAUCAACCAGAAAGUCACGGCUAACUACGUGCCAGCAGCCGCGGUAAUACGUAGGUGGCAAGCGUUGUCCGGAUUUAUUGGGCGUAAAGCGAGCGCAGGCGGAAGAAUAAGUCUGAUGUGAAAGCCCUCGGCUUAACCGAGGAAUUGCAUCGGAAACUGUUUUUCUUGAGUGCAGAGGAGGAGAGUAGAACUCCAUGUGUAGCGGUGGAAUGCGUAGAUAUAUGGAAGAAUACCAGUGGCGAAGGCGGCUCUCUGGUCUGCAACUGACGCUGAGGCUCGAAAGCAUGGGUAGCGAACAGGAUUAGAUACCCUGGUAGUCCAUGCCGUAAACGAUGAGUGCUAAGUGUUGGGAGGCUUCCGCCUCUCAGUGCUGCAGCUAACGCAUUAAGCACUCCGCCUGGGGGAGUACGACCGCAAGGUUGAAAC
rnacentral:rRNA from 1 species